AAGCAGAGAUCAAACCUCGUACCUUUUGCAUCAUGAUUUAGCCAGUGUAAACCGAGCAAAGAGCGCUUUAGUUUGAUAACCCGAAACUAAGUGAGCUACUCCAAGGCAGCCUAUUUACUGGGCGAACCCGUCUCUGUGGCAAAAGAGUGGGAUGAACUUCGAGUAGAGGUGACAGACCUACCGAACUUAGUAAUAGCUGGUUGCCUAAGAAUUGAAUACAAGUUCAGCCUCCAGGCUUCUUUCUUCCCCCUUAGUACACCUUCAUUACGAUAACAAGAAAACCAGGAGAGUUAGUCAAAGGAGGUACAGCUCCUUUGACCUAGGACACAACUUUUACAGGAGGGUAAAGAUCAUAUUUAUUAAGGCAUAAUACCCCUGUGGGCCUAAAAGCAGCCACCACAACAAAAAGCGUUAAAGCUUAGGUAUAUAACUCACCCCUCCCAAUUAUGAUUAAUAAAUCUUAUCCCCCUAGUCUUACUAGGCUAUCCUAUGCAAACAUAGGAGUAACUAUGCUAAUAUGAGUAAUAAGAAAGCUCACGACUUUCUCCCCGCACACGUGUAAAUCAGGAUGGACCACCCACUGAACAUUAACGGCCCCCCGCAAAGAGGGCAUUGAGUAAUUAGCAUAAAAAACUGGAAGACCACUCAAUAAGUAACCCCGUUAACCCCACACUGGAGCGCCCCCAGGGAAAGACUAAAAGGAAGAGAAGGAACUCGGCAAACACUAAGCCUCGCCUGUUUACCAAAAACAUCGCCUCUUGUAAAUCUAAAAAUAAGAGGUCCCGCCUGCCCUGUGACUCGAGGGUUUAACGGCCGCGGUAUCUUGACCGUGCGAAGGUAGCGCAAUCACUUGUCUUUUAAAUGGAGACCUGUAUGAAUGGCAUAACGAGGGCUUAACUGUCUCCUCUUUCCGGUCAAUGAAAUUGAUCUUCCCGUGCAGAAGCGGGAAUAUGUACAUAAGACGAGAAGACCCUAUGGAGCUUUAGACACAAGAGCAAAACAUGUCAAGCACCCCUCAUCAAGGAUAAGAACCAGAUGUUACACUUGCCCUAAUGUCUUUGGUUGGGGCGACCGCGGAGUAAAAUACAACCUCCGCGUGGACCGGGAGCACCCCUAAACUCCCUCCUAAAGCCAAGAGCCACAUCUCUAAGCAACAAAACUUUUGACCUACAUAGAUCCGGCAAUGCCGAUCAACGAACCGAGUUACCCUAGGGAUAACAGCGCAAUCCUCUUUAAGAGCCCAUAUCGACAAGGGGGUUUACGACCUCGAUGUUGGAUCAGGACAUCCUAAUGGUGCAGCCGCUA
rnacentral:rRNA from 1 species